CCCCCCGUGGCGCAGCGGUCAACGCUCUGGACUUUUAAUCCAAGGAACGGGGGUUCGAAUCCCUCCGGGGGGA
rnacentral:tRNA from 1 species